rnacentral:rRNA from 1 species
UACGAACCGUACAAACGUUAUUCGGAAUCACUGGGCUUAAAGGGUGCGUAGGCGGCCAUGUAAGUGAGAUGUGAAAUCCCUCGGCUCAACCGAGGAAGUGCAUUUCAUACUGCAUGGCUUGAGGGUGACAGGGGUAAGCGGAACUGAUGGUGGAGCGGUGAAAUGCGUUGAUAUCAUCAGGAACACCGGUGGCGAAAGCGGCUUACUGGGUCUCUUCUGACGCUGAGGUACGAAAGCGUGGGGAGCAAACAGG